GUCUAUUGCCAUACCACCCUGAAUACGCUUGAUCUUGGCUGAUCUUGGAAACUAAGCAGGGUUGAGCCUGAUUAGUACUUGAAUGGGAGAAAAAAUACACAUUGAAGUAUAUGAGUUUAAAGGGCUGUGGAUA
ensembl:rRNA 5S_rRNA 5S ribosomal RNA